UCUGUGAAUCUGUCACCGGAUGCUUACAUACAUGUUUUGGAUGAUAAUGAAACGGACUGUGUCUUUAUACCAGUUAACGUUAGACCGCAGUUGUUUAAAAGCAGUGUAUUGCUGCCCUCUGUGGUUGAAAGCUCCAAGCCUGUUGCACCUGGAUCCACAGGGUCCUGGAGGACAUCACUGCAGCAAGAUGAGACAUUAAACCACUGGAGAGAGAGACUUCAGUCAUGUUUGGAGACGCUGCCUGCCAGCCUAGAGAGAGUCCUGACUUAUAAAUAUGCCCUAGUUAGCCUGAGACCCCUGCUCCGUCCAGCCCGCUCGCUUUGUCCCCAAGUCCUGUUAUCUGUGCUCUGAAUAAAACUGAAUUACUGUUCAUCUA